UGCCAGCCGCCGCGGUAAUACGAAGGGGGCUAGCGUUGUUCGGAAUUACUGAGCGUAAAGCGCACGUAGGCGGACGAUUAAGUUAGAGGUGAAAGCCCAGAGCUCAACUCCGGAAUUGCCUUUGAUACUGGUUGUCUUGAGAUCGGAAGAGGAGAGUGGAAUUCCCAGUGUAGAGGUGAAAUUCGUAGAUAUUCGGAGGAACACCAGUGGCGAAGGCGGCUCACUGGCUCGAUACUGACGCUGAGGUGCGAAAGCGUGGGGAGCAAACAGGAUUAGAUA
rnacentral:rRNA from 1 species